UCAUAGUACGAGAGGACCUGAAAGAAUGUGCCAAUUGUGUACCAGUUCUCAUUCCAAUGGGAAACGCUGGGUAGCUAUGCACAGAGACGAUAAAAGCUGACAGCAUCUAAGUUUGAAGCUCACCUCAAGAUGAGUGCUCUCUAAUUAGGUCGCGGGAAGAUCACCCGUUUUAUAGGCGUUAGGUCUACAGUCAGUAAUGGCUUGAGCUGA
rnacentral:rRNA from 1 species